rnacentral:rRNA from 1 species
ACUCCUACGGGAGGCAGCAGUAAGGAAUAUUGCGCAAUGGGGGAAACCCUGACCCAGCAACGCCGCGUGAAGGAUGAAGUAUUUCGGUAUGUAAACUUCGAAAGAAUAGGAAGAAUUAAUGACGGUACUAUUUAUAAGGUCCGGCUAACUACGUGCCAGCAGCCGCGGUAAUA